AUUGAACGCUGGCGGCAUGCCUUACACAAGCAAGUCGAACGGCAGCAUGGAGAGCUUGCUCUCUGAUGGCGAGUGGCGAACGGGUGAGUAGUGCAUCGGAACGUACCGUGUAAUGGGGGAUAACGUAGCGAAAGUUACGCUAAUACCGCAUACGACCUGAGGGUGAAAGCAGGGGAUCGCAAGACCUUGCGUUAUACGAGCGGCCGAUGUCAGAUUAGCUAGUUGGUGAGGUAAAGGCUCACCAAGGCGACGAUCUGUAGCGGGUCUGAGAGGAUGAUCCGCCACACUGGGACUGAGACACGGCCCAGACUCCUACGGGAGGCAGCAGUGGGGAAUUUUGGACAAUGGGGGCAACCCUGAUCCAGCCAUGCCGCGUGAGUGAAGAAGGCCUUCGGGUUGUAAAGCUCUUUCGGCCGGGAAGAAAUCGCACAGGCUAAUACUCUGUGUGGAUGACGGUACCGGCAUAAGAAGCACCGGCUAACUACGUGCCAGCCGCCGCAGUAA
rnacentral:rRNA from 1 species